UACAACUUUCAGCAACGGAUCUCUUGGCUCUCGCAUCGAUGAAGAACGCAGCGAAAUGCGAUACGUAAUGUGAAUUGCAGAAUUCAGUGAAUCAUCGAAUCUUUGAACGCACCUUGCGCCCCUUGGCAUUCCGAGGGGCACACCCGUUUGAGUGUCGUG
rnacentral:rRNA from 1 species